rnacentral:rRNA from 1 species
AUCCUGGCUCAGAUUGAACGCUGGCGGCAGGCCUAACACAUGCAAGUCGAGCGGUAGAGAGGUGCUUGCAUCUCUUGAGAGCGGCGGACGGGUGAGUAAUGCCUAGGAAUCUGCCUAGUGGUGGGGGAUAACGUUCGGAAACGGACGCUAAUACCGCAUACGUCCUACGGGAGAAAAGCGGGGGGAUCUUCGGACCUCGCGCCAUUAGAUGAGCCUAGGUCGGAUUAGCUAGUUGGUGAGGUAAUGGCUCACCAAGGCGACGAUCCGUAACUGGUCUGAGAGGAUGAUCAGUCACACUGGAACUGAGACACGGUCCAGACUCCUACGGGAGGCAGCAGUGGGGAAUAUUGGACAAUGGGCGAAAGCCUGAUCCAGCCAUGCCGCGUGUGUGAAGAAGGUCUUCGGAUUGUAAAGCACUUUAAGUUGGGAGGAAGGGUAGUAACCUAAUACGUUGCUACUUUGACGUUACCGACAGAAUAAGCACCGGCUAACUUCGUG